GGUAAUGCUGGGGACUCUAAAGGAACUGCCUACGCAAGUAAGUGAGGAAGGCGGGGAUGACGUCAAAUCAGCACGGCCCUUACGUCCAGGGCUACACACGUGCUACAAUGGCCGAUACAGAGGGCAGCUACCUGGUGACAGGAUGCAAAUCUCCAAAGUCGGUCUCAGUUCGGAUCGGAGUCUGCAACCCGACUCCGUGAAGUUGGAUUCGCUAGUAAUCGCGCAUCAGCCAUGGCGCGGUGAAUACGUUCCCGGGCCUU
rnacentral:rRNA from 1 species